rnacentral:rRNA from 1 species
AUUGAACGCUUGCGGAAUGCUUUACACAUGCAAGUCGAACGAUUAACCUUAGCUUGCUAAGGGGGUUAGUGGCGAACGGGUGAGUAAUAUAUCGGAACGUUCCUUUUAAUGGGGGAUAACUAGUCGAAAGAUUAGCUAAUACCGCAUACGCCCUGAGGGGGAAAGUAGGGGAUCUUCGGACCUUACGUUAUAAGAGCGGCCGAUAUCUGAUUAGCUAGUUGGUGGGGUAAUGGCCUACCAAGGCGACGAUCAGUAGCUGGUCUGAGAGGACGACCAGCCACACUGGAACUGAGACACGGUCCAGACUCCUACGGGAGGCAGCAGUGGGGAAUUUUGGACAAUGGGCGCAAGCCUGAUCCAGCCAUUCCGCGUGAGUGAAGAAGGCCUUCGGGUUGUAAAGCUCUUUCGCAAGGGAAGAAAACUUACCAUCGAAUAAAUGGUGAGGCUGACGGUACCUUGAUAAGAAGCACCGGCUAACUACGUG